UCAGGAAUGUUAGUGGGACAGGGACUUUUGUGUGGGAUUUGGCACAGUUUGACAAAUCCUGUGGCUCUGAUUCCUGCAGCAUUGGGCAGCCAAGCCAAGGUAGGGUUCUCACACUGGAUUUUCUUCCCUGUGGCAGAUUCGUGGCAGAGCAGCAGCCCUUGCCUCCCACCACGCAGAUGCAGCCCAUCAGUGGCAGCACGGUGCGGCCCCCUGCCCCCUCACCUGUGUUUUCCCCAUCCGUGAUGCUCCCCCAUGGCAGCUUCGUGUCCCACCCCGGCAGCACCCCGCUGCAUCUCCACCCCUGGCCUCAGCAGCAGGUUCAGCAGCACCGUCUCUACCUUCAGAUGCAAGGAGCUGAGGCAGUGCCAGGAGGCCCCAGCCCACGUGUGUUCCAGCCACCCCACCUCCCACAGCAGAACCCCCUGAGCUACUUCCUGCACCCGCAGCCGCAGGGCCGCCACGCGCAGGGCCAGCCCUGCAACCUGCCUGACCUGCCUGAGAUGCAGCUGCCCUGACCGACUGCUGCUCAGACCAACAAGACCCCACAAGGGGACACCUCACAUAGUGGGAUUGCCGUGGGGCCCAGCUGGGGUCUCCUGUUGGCCCCACUGCUCAAAAGAGCCCAUGGGCUGCGAGUCUCAGCCAGGCCUGCCCCAGAGGGAGUGCACCGUCAAGCUGAGGAAGAGAAGGAUGCUCACCUGGGGCUCCUGCCCACUGAAUCUGCAGACUUGGUGAGAAAGGUGUGCUUGGGGCAGGGGCUGGGAUGCUGCUGCCGGUUGCCGAGCCGUGCCUGCUUGCGCCAGUGCUGGCUGCAGAUCUUUGACCUGAAGGGGAGAGCCGCCCAGCUGUGGGCAGGUUGGCUGAGGUCCCCGUGGGGAUGACGGCGCCGCAGAUAAGCCCCGUCCGAUCAGGGCCGCGGUGCUGGAAGUCACUGUGACGCUGAUCCCAGCGCCCGCAGCACACUGCAGGGUUCCCGUGUACAUAGCUCGUCUCGCUCUCGUAGGUCCGUCGUGGAGUUUUCCCUUAUUUCUAUACCUCAACCCCACCAUUUUGUUUUCCAGGAGAUUGGAUAAUGCUGCUAAUUUAUGUAACACCACUUUUGCCUGAAUUUCUUACUGUUGUUAAACCAGCUCACAUCACAACCAGUAAGAUAUUCCUCAUCUUUUAUUUUGGUUAACAAGUGCAGAGAAAUUUAUAUGGUUUUUACUCCCUAUAGCCAAAUAUUUUUCAGGUUACGUACAAAGAAUCUUUACUCUUUCUCCUCUGUCAUUCUGUUCUGAUCCAGGUGGAUGUUGUUGUAUAUGUUUCUUAACAUGAAAACAAACAAACACAGUUGAACACCAUAUGACAGCAAACUUUGUGGUUUUGCUUAGUCAGAUUUCAGUCUGACAAACCCAAAACAUAUACUCACAAUGACACAGGCGAUGUUACAAGCCCAUAGGGUCAGCAAUAAAUUGUAUUUUUGUAAAUUGCCACUUUUUAACUAUAUGUUUAUAUUUAUGAAUUGAAAACAAGUCUUUCCUCAGUGGGUGUAUAGCUGUGUCCCUACUGUUUGUGUCUUUCCAAAGGAAAAACGAACAUGUACAUUUCUGAGGCGCUGGGGGCUGAGGACUAACCGUGGGCACUGCUGGAGCCCAAGCACAGAUGACGGUAUAGGCCAUUGCUUUCAGCUUUGCAGGAAGGUAGGGAGGAAAACGUGUACACACAGAGGCACACACUUACACCAAGGAUACACUAUUGUACACAGUUUAUGUCUCAGCGUUGCUGGUGGGAGGAGAAGGCUGCAGCAUGCUGGCUGUCCUGCACGUCCCCCCCUACAUGCCAGCCCUGGUGCGGCAGUGUGGCUGGGCUCUUGUGAGCAGGGCUUGAUAAGGAGGGGGUUCACUGCUUUGCAAGGAGAGGGGCUGGGGGCGGUGGGUGUGCCGGAUGGGGCUGUGCCUCUUCACAGCCCUCCUGAUGGCAGCACUGGGCUGCAUGGUGAUGGGGAGGGCUGUGAGAUGGCACAGUUGUCCAUUGCUUGCAGCCUCUCAGAAGGGAGCAGGGGAGGUUUGCAAGGAUGUUUACAUGUGAGAUUGGCCUUGCUGAAACAAGCAACCUAAAACAUGCACUUUAUCACACCCCCUUUUAUUUCCAGCACCCACCCCAGCCGCUAGCGCAGCUGCUCGUGGGCCCGGUGCCACCCGGGCAGAGCUGUGUGUGCCAUGGGGCAAAAUCCCAUAGCCCCUGCUCAGCCUGCCUCCAACCAGGCAUGGCAGGCUCAGGGCCACGGGAUUUCUGCCUUAGUUAUCACUCACACUCAAAGAAUUAAUGACUAAAUGAAUCUCUUUAUUCAGGUGAAUUCCUAUACAUUUACCUCGGUGAUAGCUAUGACCUGUGUUUUUGGGAUCCCUUUGGAAUUGAGGGUUGCUGGUGGGCUUGGUUCCCCUCUGGGUGCUGGUGAGAGAACAGAAGUGUGAGCGGUGCUGCCUGCACCAGGGGCUGGGCUCCACCGCCAGCGCUCAGCGACAUCCUGAGGCUUUCUAGCACAGAAGCACUUAUGUGCUAGCUCUCUCUCCCUUCAUAUAUAGAUAUACAGGUGUGUGUGUUUUUAGUAUACAUAUAUAUGUAUGUAUGUGUGUAUCUAUAUCUACAGGCCACACAAUUCCAGACCUCUGAAAACACAGGCAGCUUUAAUUAAUAAAGUCUUGCACUUUUAGCAUACUUGUACAUAUAAGCUAAAGCCUGGUGGGUACAAUCAGGCUGGUUUGACAAACACAGUUAAAAAUUGACUGUAUAUAUUGUAACAUACUCUGUGUAAAAGAAGAAGAAAAA
rnacentral:lncRNA from 1 species